GUCGGGAAUAUUGCGCAAUGGAGGAAACUCUGACGCAGUGACGCCGCGUAUAGGAAGAAGGUUUUCGGAUUGUAAACUAUUGUCGUGAGGGAAGAAAUUGACAGUACCUCAGGAGGAAGCUCCGGCUAACUAUGUGCCAGCAGCCGCGGUAAUACAUAGGGAGCAAGCGUUAUCCGGAUUUAUUGGGUGUAAAGGGUGCGUAGACGGGAAAUUAAGUUAGUUGUGAAAUCCCUUGGCUUAACUGAGGAACUGCAACUAAAACUGGUUUUCUUGAGUACUGGAGAGGAAAGUGGAAUUCCUAGUGUAGCGGUGAAAUGCGUAGAUAUUAGGAGGAACACCAGUGGCGAAGGCGACUUUCUGGACAGUAACUGACGUUGAGGCACGAAAGUGUGGGGAGCAAACAGGAUUAGAAACCCCGGUAGUCC
rnacentral:rRNA from 1 species